GGGCUAGUAGCUUAGACGGGCCCAAAGCGUCUGGCUUUUAACCAGAAAAUCGAGGGUUCAAAUCCCUCCUAGCCCG
rnacentral:tRNA from 1 species